rnacentral:rRNA from 1 species
AACGAACGCUGGCGGCGUGCCUAACACAUGCAAGUCGUGCGAGAAAGUUCCUUCGGGAGCGAGUAAAGCGGCGCACGGGUGAGUAACACGUAGGUAACCUGCCCCCCAGUCUGGAACAACUAGAGGAAACUCUAGCUAAUGCCGGAUGAGACCACGAUCCCUUCGGGGGUUGCGGCCAAAGAUGGCCUCUACUUGUAAGCUAUCGCUGAGGGAUGGGCCUGCGGGCCAUUAGCUUGUUGGUGAGGUAACGGCUCACCAAGGCUGUGAUGGCUAGCUGGUCUGAGAGGAUGACCAGCCACACUGGGACUGAGACACGGCCCAGACUCCUACGGGGAGGCAGCAGUGGGGAAUAUUGCGCAAUGGGCGAAAGCCUGACGCAGCGACGCCGCGUGGGUGAUGAAGGCCUUCGGUCGG